rnacentral:tRNA from 1 species
GGAGAGGUGGCCGAGUGGCUGAAGGCAACGGUUUGCUAAACCGUCAUAGUGUGUAAACGCUAUCGGGGGUUAGAAUCCCCCCCUCUCCG